CAUUCAGUAGCCCAGCUACUUGUUUACACCCUUGUUUUUUGCGUACUUAUCGUUUCCUCGGCGGGCUUGCCUGCCGGUUGGACAACUUUAUAACCUUUUUAAAUCUUCAAUCAGCGUCUGAAUAAUAUACAAUAAUUA
rnacentral:misc_RNA from 1 species